AAAAAGAACUGGAGACUAUAAAAGGGUAUGCAUGGAAGUCUAGAGAUCACAGAAAACACACACUUCAUUUCUUAAGAAAAAAGUUGUUGAAGUUUGAAGAGAUCAUGAGGGCAAUAUAUAUUAUCAGCAUCAUUAUAGUGAGCUUGAGCAUUUUCUCUUGUGGUGGGAAUGCUCGACUUCUUCCUGCUAAUAGAGAUUAUCCAUGGGCAAUGUUUGCCCUAAGGCUUCAAUGGCCAGCUGGAUUUUACGAGGUCAACAAUGACUGUGAUACAAAGUCUCUCCUCAACACAUUUACCAUUCACGGCCUUUAUCCCUAUAACGCGAAGGGGAUCCCAGUGUUAUAUUGUGACGGAACUGCCUUUGAUGUUAACUCUGUGAGUUCUCUCAGUCUGCAUUUAAUUUACUUCUUAAAAUCCUUGCUCUAUUGUCUAUUAAAUAUGUUUUUUUGUGGUAACAUUUAUAUAUAUCUUGAAGAGUUGGAUAUGUUUGUUUGAUAAAAAAAAUGAAAUUGUACAUGCAAUAUAUAUCCAUACAUACUCACAUAUGUUAAACUAAUUUCUCUCCUCCUUUAUUUUGAAAAUUAACAGGUAUCGGACUUUCAAGCAGAAAUGCAUCUUGCAUGGCCGAGUCAUGAAACUAAUACUGAGGACAAACAAUUCUGGGAACACGAGUGGAAUAAACAUGGAAGGUGCUCAGAAGCUUUGUUGAAGCAGACUGAUUAUUUUAGAACGGCGCUUGCUUUUAGAAAAGCAUUUGAUAUAAUUGGGCUACUAAACCAGGAAGGUAAACAUACCCAUUGAUAUAUAAUUAAAUAGUCUUUAAUUUGGUUCAUUAAUUGCUUCCUAAGGGAACUACGUACUUAAUUUAGAUUUUGUGGAUGAUUAAUUGAUAAUGUGAGUUUGAUGAGAUUACUAUUCAAAAAUGUGUAGGGAUUUACCCGAAUAACGACCUUUAUCGUCCUAAAAUGAUAAAAGAAGCAAUCAAAAAGCACUUGAAUGCUGUGCCAGAAAUCGAUUUCACCAAAAACGAAAACUCAGAAUAUGUGCUUACGGAUAUUAAUCUAUGUGUGAACCAACAAGCAACAAGGUUCGUAGAUUGCCCUACCGAUGACGCUACUGAUGACUACCGCCUCAAAUUCGUAAGACUACCUUCUAAAAUGAAAAUUGCGGAUCCGAGGACCAAUUCUAUAAUAUAGCACAAAUGGUACGGCUACAAAAUGGACUACUAUCUUGUUUAAUUAAUGCUUUUGGGAGUAUAUAUUAUCUAUGUAAAAUAGUUAUGAGUGCUAGGGUUGGCUAAUUAGUACUAUGAGGCCAACCUUUAGUAUCUCUUGAAUAAUGUCCAUGUAGCAAAAGUUUAUAGCACUCUGGCCUUGGUGUGUAUGGAUAAUUAUAAUAAAUGACUACUUUUAUCUGCAAAAAAAAAUAAAAUCCAAGUAUUUUCUUUUGUUUUUAUUUUUGAUAAGAAUUUAAUUUUAUGUAGUUUGAUGGCAUAGUUUAUCUAGGAAGCUGAUAUUUUCACAUGUUAAAAUGAUAUUUUCAAACGAGUCUCUCACAAUAUGGAUGUGGGACUUGCUCACUAUUCAUGUGAGAGGGAUUAUGUGAAAAUA
rnacentral:lncRNA from 1 species